UACGUAGGGUGCGAGCGUUACUCGGAAUUACUGGGCGUAAAGCGCGUGUAGGUGGCUUGUUAAGUCCGAUGUGAAAUCCCUGAACUCAAUUCAGGAACUGCAUUGGAUACUGGCAGGCUUGAGUAUAGGAGAGGUAAGCGGAAUUCCAGGUGUAGAGGUGAAAUUCGUAGAUAUCUGGAGGAACAACAGAGGCGAAAGCGGCUUACUGGACUAUUACUGACACUGAGAUGCGAAAGCGUGGGGAGCAAACAGG
rnacentral:rRNA from 1 species